rnacentral:rRNA from 1 species
CUCCUCUUGAGACAUAGGAGGUACCGUCUGCUCAAUGCAAAUUUGUAAAUAGCCGCAGUAUUCUGACUGUGCUAAGGUAGCAUAAUCAUUAGUCUUUUAAUUGAAGGCUGGUAUGAAUGACGAGACGAGAAAGUAGCUGUCUCUAUAAUAAAUUUUUGAAUUUUAUAUUUAAGUGAAAAAGCUUAAAUAAUUUUGAAGGACGAUCAGACCCUUUGGAGCUUUAUUUAUUUUUAAAUUUAAGUUUAUUUUAGAUGAUUGAAUACAAAAUGAAUUUUGUUGGGGCGACAGAGAGUAAAAGAUACCACUCUUUUUCUUAAACAAUUAUAAUUGAAAAAUUGAUCCUCAAAGUGAGAUUAAAAGACUAAGUUACCCAAGGGAUAACAGCGUAAUCUUUUUGGAGAGUUCUAAUCGAUAAAAAGGUUUGCGACCUCGAUGUUGGAUUAAGAUAUUAGCAAGGUGCAGAAGUUCUGUUGGAGAGUCUGUUCGACUCU